AUUGAACGCUGGCGGCAGGCCUAACACAUGCAAGUCGAACGGUAACAGGAAGAAGCUAGCUUCUUUGCUGACGAGUGGCGGACGGGUGAGUAAUGUCUGGGAAACUGCCUGAUGGAGGGGGAUAACUACUGGAAACGGUAGCUAAUACCGCAUAACGUCGCAAGACCAAAGAGGGGGACCUUCGGGCCUCUUGCCAUCGGAUGUGCCCAGAUGGGAUUAGCUAGUAGGUGGGGUAACGGCUCACCUAGGCGACGAUCCCUAGCUGGUCUGAGAGGAUGACCGGCAAAACUGGAACUGAGACACGGUCAAGACGCCUACGGGAGGCAGCAGUGGGGAAUAUUGCACAAUGGGCGCAAGCCUGAUGCAGCCAUGCCGCGUGUAUGAAGAAGGCCUUCGGGUUGUAAAGUACUUCCAGCGGGGAGGAAGGGAGUAAAGUUAAUACCUUGGCUCAUUGACGUUACCCGCAGAAGAAGCACCGGCUAACUCCGUG
rnacentral:rRNA from 1 species